rnacentral:rRNA from 1 species
GUGGGGAAUCUUAGACAAUGGGCGCAAGCCUGAUCUAGCCAUGCCGCGUGAGUGAUGAAGGCCUUAGGGUCGUAAAGCUCUUUCGCUGGGGAAGAUAAUGACUGUACCCAGUAAAGAAACCCCGGCUAACUCCGUGCCAGCAGCCGCGGUAAUACGGAGGGGGUUAGCGUUGUUCGGAAUUACUGGGCGUAAAGCGCGCGUAGGCGGAUUAGAAAGUUAGGGGUGAAAUCCCAGGGCUCAACCCUGGAACUGCCUCUAAAACUCCUAGUCUUGAGGUCGAGAGAGGUGAGUGGAAUUCCGAGUGUAGAGGUGAAAUUCGUAGAUAUUCGGAGGAACACCAGUGGCGAAGGCGGCUCACUGGCUCGAUACUGACGCUGAGGUGCGAAAGCGUGGGGAGCAAACAGGAUUAGAAACCCCAGUAGUCC